rnacentral:tRNA from 1 species
GGCGCUAUAGCCAAGCGGUAAGGCAUAGGUCUGCAAAACCUUUAUCCCCAGUUCAAAUCUGGGUGGCGCCUCCA